CCUACGGGAGGCAGCAGUGGGGAAUAUUGGACAAUGGGGGCAACCCUGUUCCAGCCAUGCCGCGUGUGUGAAGAAGGCCCUCGGGUUGUAAAGCACUUUCAGUGAGGAAGAACGCCUGGUGGUUAAUACCCAUCAGGAAAGACAUCACUCACAGAAGAAGCACCGGCUAACUCCGUGCCAGCAGCCGCGGUAAUACGGAGGGUGCGAGCGUUAAUCGGAAUUACUGGGCGUAAAGCGCGCGUAGGUGGCUUGAUAAGCCGGUUGUGAAAGCCCCGGGCUCAACCUGGGAACGGCAUCCGGAACUGUCAAGCUAGAGUGCAGGAGAGGAAGGUAGAAUUCCCGGUGUAGCGGUGAAAUGCGUAGAGAUCGGGAGGAAUACCAGUGGCGAAGGCGGCCUUCUGGACUGACACUGACACUGAGGUGCGAAAGCGUGGGUAGCAAACAGGAUUAGAUACCCUUGUAGUC
rnacentral:rRNA from 1 species